GAUGAACGCUGGCGGCGUGCCUAAUACAUGCAAGUCGAGCGAACAGAUGAGGAGCUUGCUCCUCUGACGUUAGCGGCGGACGGGUGAGUAACACGUGGAUAACCUACCUAUAAGACUGGGAUAACUUCGGGAAACCUGAGCUAAUACCGGAUAAUAUAUUGAACCGCAUGGUUCAAUAGUGAAAGACGGUUUUGCUGGCACUUAUAGAGGGAUCCGCGCCGCAUUAGCUAGUUGGUAAGGUAACGGCUUACCAAGGCAACGAUGCGUAGCCGACCUGAGAGGGUGAUCGGCCACACUGGAACUGAGACACGGUCCAGACUCCUACGGGAGGCAGCAGUAGGGAAUCUUCCGCAAAGGGCGAAAGCCUGACGGAGCAACGCCGCGUGAGGGAUGAAGGUCUUCGGAUCGUAAAACUCUGUUAUUAGGGAAGAACACAUGUGUAAGUAACUAUGCACGUCUUGACGGUACCUAAUCAGAAAGCCACGGCUAACUACGUG
rnacentral:rRNA from 1 species